rnacentral:rRNA from 1 species
CCUACGGGUGGCAGCAGUGAGGAAUAUUGGUCAAUGGACGAGAGCCUGAACCAGCCAAGUAGCGUGAAGGAUGACUGCCCUAUGGGUUGUAAACUUCUUUUAUAUGGGAAUAAAACAGGGUACGCAUACCCUCUUGUAUGUACCAUAUGAAUAAGGAUCGGCUAACUCCGUGCCAGCAGCCGCGGUAAUACGGAGGAUCCGAGCGUUAUCCGGAUUUAUUGGGUUUAAAGGGAGCGUAGGUGGAUUGUUAAGUCAGUUGUGAAAGUUUGCGGCUCAACCGUAAAAUUGCAGUUGAAACUGGCAGUCUGGAGUACAGUAGAGGUGGGCGGAAUUCGUGGUGUAGCGGUGAAAUGCUUAGAUAUCACGAAGAACUCCGAUUGCGAAGGCAGCUUACUGGACUGCAACUGACACUGAUGCUCGAAAGUGUGGGUAUCAAACAGGAUUAGAUACCCUUGUAGUC